rnacentral:sRNA from 1 species
AUGUACCACCCGUACACUUCGGUUCUGAGCGCGCCGUCCGCGCCCACCUCACAGCUGCUCGCUACGUUUGUUAGCC